rnacentral:tRNA from 1 species
GGUAAAAUGGCUGAGUUAUAAGCAAUAAAUUGUAAAUUUAUUUACGAAUAUUAUAUUCUUUUACCA